UCUUCUCUCUGACUCAAAAACCAAGGUCCACUGUUCCAGGGCUGGGACAGCAAGGCUGAAUAAUUUUUCCCAUGACCACCACCUUGGAUUUGAGCCAACCUGCACAGCCUAAAGGGAGAAGCACUGUAGCCCAGGAUCCGGAGCCCACUGGCUAAAACAUGGCGUUCUCUUCUCUAACCCAAAAGUAAAAGUAGAACGGGAGGCGGCAUUCGAGAUCAUGUGGGAGAAUCUGGGAGACCUGGCAUUCAUGGCAGCAUUCGGAUCAUGUGGGAGAAUCUGGGAGACCUGGCAUUCAUGGCAGCAUUCGGGAUCAUGUGGGAGAAUCUGGGAGACCUGGCAUUCAUGGCGGCAUUCGGGAUCAUGUGGGAGAAUCUGGGAGACCUGGCAUUCAUGGCGGCAUUCGGGAUCAUGUGGGAGAAACUGGGAGACCUGGCAUUCAUGGCGGCAUUCAGGAUCAUGUGGGAGAAUCUGGGAGACCUGGCAUUCAUGGCGGCAUUCAGGAUCAUGUGGGAGAAUCUGGGAGACCUGGCAUUCACAGCUUCUGUAAGAAGGCAAUUCAGCAUCUGAACCAAAACCCUUCCUUGGAAAUUUGUCCAAAGUCACUUGCCAGAGCUAUGACCACCAGUGAAUAUGACAACACUAAAGAAUAGUUUAAGGUACCACCAAAGAUUGUCAUAUAAAGGUCUACCAGAUGGCUAGGGGGUAAAGGUGCUUACCACAAGGAGUGAUGAGUUUGAGCCUCAGAACUUGCAUGGAGGAAGGAGAAAACAAACUACUGCAAGCUGUCCUCUGAACAACACACACACCACACACACACACAUAACAUAAAAACUAUUUUAUCAUGUGAUAUUU
rnacentral:lncRNA from 1 species